CAACAACGCUGGCGGCGUGCUUACACACGCAGUUCAACGAUGAAGCUGGAGCUUGCUCCGGUGGAUUAGUGGCGAACGGGUGAGUAACACGUGAGCAAUCUGCCCUUCACUCUGGGAUAACUGCGGGAAACUGUAGCUAAUACCGGAUACGAAGCCUUGGGGCAUCCCAGGGGCUUGGAAAGAAUUUCGGUGAAGGAUGAGCUCGCGGCCUAUCAGCUAGUUGGUGAGGUAAUGGCUCACCAAGGCGACGACGGGUAGCCGGCCUGAGAGGGUGACCGGCCACACUGGAACUGAGACACGGUCCAGACUCCUACGGGAGGCAGCAGUGGGGAAUAUUGCACAAUGGGCGAAAGCCUGAUGCAGCAACGCCGCGUGAGGGAUGAAGGCCUUCGGGUUGUAAACCUCUUUUAGCAGGGAAGAAGGGUAACUGACGGUACCUGCAGAAAAAGCACCGGCUAACUACGUGCCAGCAGCCGCGGUAAUACGUAGGGUGCAAGCGUUGUCCGGAAUUAUUGGGCGUAAAGAGCCCAGUAGGCGGUUAUGUCGCGUCUGCUGUGAAAAUCCAAUGCUCAACAUUGGACCUGCAGAUGGGUACGGGCAGACUAAAGUGCGGCUGGGGAGAAGGGAAUUCCUGGUGUAACGGUCGGAAUGCGCAGAUAUCAGGAGGAACACCGAUGGC
rnacentral:rRNA from 1 species